rnacentral:rRNA from 1 species
UACGGGGGAGCAAGCGUUGUUCGGAUUUACUGGGCGUAAAGGGCGCGUAGGCGGUCAGCACAAGUCAGUUGUGAAAUCUCCGGGCUUAACUCGGAAAGGUCAACUGAUACUGUGCGAACUAGAGUGCAGAAGGGGCAACUGGAAUUCUCGGUGUAGCGGUGAAAUGCGUAGAUAUCGAGAGGAACACCUGAGGUGAAGACGGGUUGCUGGGCUGACACUGACGCUGAGGCGCGAAAGCCAGGGGAGCAAACGGG